UGGGGCAGUGGGCUGGCCUUCCGCUCUUGUCUCAUAGGAAGGGUCUUGGUGCUCUGGGUCCUUUCCACGUCUCAAUGCACGUCUGAGUGUAGGAGAAUCACCUCAUGGCCGCAAAAGCAUUGUCCUGGGAUGCGGAGGAUCUGCAGCCUGACAACUCUAGUGUCGCAGGUCAUGGGAGGCGGGGAGACGCUCUGCGGGCCCCGAUCCCUGGGAAACGCUGGCAUGCCAGGUAUCUUGGAUGCUAUAUUUACAGCCUACAUCCUGGCCUCGUGACCCGGCAAUUGUGGUUUCUGCUGUGCUUCUGGCUCUCAGGUGCGAGUGUCUCACCACCGCAGCCCCUCUAGAUCUUUAUAGCACCCCGUGGAGGCUUUUGUGAAUUUGAAUCGGAUAUUCAGCACAUGCAUGCAGUGUCAACGGAGCCCAGAGGACAUCAAAUCGCCUGCGAGUAGAGUUGCGGAUUAC